CCUACGGGUGGCAGCAGUAGGGAAUCUUUCACAAUGGGCGAAAGCCUGAUGGAGCAACGCCGCGUGCAGGAUGAAGGCCUUCGGGUUGUAAACUGCUUUUAUAAGCGAGAAAUAUGAUGGUAACUUAUGAAUAAGGAUCGGCUAACUACGUGUCAGCAGUCGCGGUCAUACGUAGGAUCCGAGCAUUAUCCGGAGUGACUGGGUGUAAAGAGUUGCGUAGGUGGCAUAAUAAGUAGCUAGUGAAAUCUGGUGGCUCAACCAUUCAGACUAUUAGCUAAACUGUUAAGCUCGAGACCGUUAGGGGUAACUGGAAUUUCUAGUGUAGGAGUGAAAUCCGUAGAUAUUAGAAGGAACACCAAUAGCGUAGGCAGGUUGCUGGGACGGUUCUGACACUAAGGCACGAAAGCGUAGGGAGCAAACGGGAUUAGAUACCCCAGUAGUC
rnacentral:rRNA from 1 species